AUGCUGAUUGAGUUUAGAGUGCGAGUAAGUGUCACAGCCAUCACUUUUUUUCAUUCAAUUGUCACCUUAGUAAUAAUUGAUUAUUUCAUAAUUCAUACUGUAAACAUAUCCAAGCAAUGGUUGAAAAUUUUAAGACUUAAUAAUUGUUUUAAGUCAUUUCAUGUGAUUUUUGGCGUUUACCUCUUCACCUGUGUGUUUGCGUUUUUAAAAAGCCAUCUUCUUCGCAAAACUUCUUGGAUGUUCUUUGCAAAUCA